CCCUGACAGAUGCACUAAGUAUCUGACUUAACCCAGACAGGAGAUCAACAUG
rnacentral:sRNA from 12 species